AGAGUUUGAUCCUGGCUCAGAUUGAACGCUGGCGGAAUGCUUUACACAUGCAAGUCGAACGGCAGCACGGGGCAACCUGGUGGCGAGUGGCGAACGGGUGAGUAAUACAUCGGAACGUGCCCAAUCGUGGGGGAUAACGUAGCGAAAGUUACGCUAAUACCGCAUACGAUCUACGGAUGAAAGCGGGGGAUCGCAAGACCUCGCGCGAGUGGAGCGGCCGAUGUCAGAUUAGGUAGUUGGUGGGGUAAAGGCUCACCAAGCCAACGAUCUGUAGCUGGUCUGAGAGGACGACCAGCCACACUGGAACUGAGACACGGUCCAGACUCCUACGGGAGGCAGCAGUGGGGAAUUUUGGACAAUGGGCGCAAGCCUGAUCCAGCCAUUCCGCGUGCAGGAUGAAGGCCCUCGGGUUGUAAACUGCUUUUGUACGGAACGAAACGGCGCUCUCUAAUACAGGGCGCUAAUGACGGUACCGUAAGAAUAAGCACCGGCUAACUACGUG
rnacentral:rRNA from 1 species